rnacentral:rRNA from 1 species
GUACGUACAAGCAGUGGGAGCACCCUUUGGGUGUGACUGCGUACCUUUUGUAUAAUGGGUCAGCGACUUAUAUUCUGUAGCAAGGUUAACCGAAUAGGGGAGCCGGAGGGAAACCGAGUCUUAAUUGGGCGUUAAGUUGCAGGGUAUAGACCCGAAACCCGGUGAUCUAGCCAUGGGCAGGUUGAAGGUUGGGUAACACUAACUGGAGGACCGAACCGACUAAUGUUGAAAAAUUAGCGGAUGACCUGUGGCUGGGGGUGAAAGGCCAAUCAAACCGGGAGAUAGCUGGUUCUCCCCGAAAGCUAUUUAGGUAGCGCCUCGUGAAUUCAUCUCCGGGGGUAGAGCACUGUUUCGGCUAGGGGGCCAUCCCGGCUUACCAACCCGAUGCAAACUGCGAAUACCGGAGAAUGUUAUCACGGGAGACACACGGCGGGUGCUAACGUCCGUCGUGAAGAGGGAAACAACCCAGACCGCCAGCUAAGGUCCCAAAGUCAUGGUUAAGUGGGAAACGAUGUGGGAAGGCCCAGACAGCCAGGAUGUUGGCUUAGAAGCAGCCAUCAUUUAAAGAAAGCGUAAUAGCUCACUGGUCGAGUCGGCCUGCGCGGAAGAUGUAACGGGGCUAAACCAU